AUGCACGCUGGCGGCGUGCCUAAUACAUGCCAGUCGCGCGAACAGACGAGGAGCUUGCUCCUCUGACGUUAGCGGCGGACGGGUGAGUAACACGUGGAUAACCUACCUAUAAGACUGGGAUAACUUCGGGAAACCGGAGCUAAUACCGGAUAACAUGUUGAACCGCAUGGUUUAACAGUGAAAGACGGUCUUGCUGUCACUUAUAGAUGGAUCCGCGCCGCAUUAGCUAGUUGGUAAGGUAACGGCUUACCAAGGCAACGAUGCGUAGCCGACCUGAGAGGGUGAUCGGCCACACUGGAACUGAGACACGGUCCAGACUCCUACGGGAGGCAGCAGUAGGGAAUCUUCCGCAAAGGGCGAAAGCCUGACGGAGCAACGCCGCGUGAGUGAAGAAGGUCUUCGGAUCGUAAAACUCUGUUAUUAGGGAAGAACAAAUGUGUAAGUAACUAUGCACGUCUUGACGGUACCUAAUCAGAAAGCCACGGCUAACUACGUG
rnacentral:rRNA from 1 species